UACGGGGGGGGCAAGCGUUGUUCGGAAUUACUGGGCGUAAAGGGUUCGUAGGUGGCCAACUAAGUCAGACGUGAAAUCCCUCAGCUUAACUGGGGAACUGCGUCUGAUACUGGUUGGCUUGAGUGCAGGAGAGGAAUGCGGAAUUCCAGGUGUAGCGGUGAAAUGCGUAGAUAUCUGGAGGAACACCGGUGGCGAAGGCGGCGUUCUGGACUGCAACUGACACUGAAAAACGAAAGCCAGGGGAGCAAACGGG
rnacentral:rRNA from 1 species